UUUUUCAUUCUACUGCAGUGGAAGAACAUUGUUCAUCUGUUUGGCUUCAACAACUCCAAAGACAUGUUGCUUUACCUCUUUUUGAUUUUAUCUCACUUCAUAGGACUAAUAGCUGGAGACACAAUCUCUCCUGUAAGAGAUGAAGUCAGUGGAGGAGAAGGAGAAUCUGUCAAACUCAGAUGUGUCUAUGAGACAACCAGUGAUUAUGUUUAUCUUUACUGGUACAGACAUCAUUCUGACCUUCAGGCACCUCAGUUUAUACUCUUGAAAGGAGCAAAAUCAUUGGCCAGUUAUGGAUAUAUUCCUAACAAUCGAUACGAAUCCCAAACAACAGAUACAUCAACUGAACUGACCAUAAACAGACUAACCCUGGCAGACACAGCCCUCUACUACUGUGCUCUAGAGACACAGUGAUACAAAGUGUAGAAGAGGCUGUACAAAAACCUGAACACAGAUAUCUGACUACUCUUCAAAGAGGAGGGAAGUGGUAUUCAACCCACAGCUUCAUAUCAGAUGGACUCUGCUAAUUCCUGUUUUCUCAGAGUCACUGUGGUGACAGCUGCUAGUGAAACACUGUGGGAGGAUUCACAUGAGCAGCAAAUCCACAUCAAUGAAGAACCAACUGGAUGGUGCUUCAAACACGAGACACCAGGAAAACAAAUAAAUGGACAAUGACGUCCUCACUUAAUCCUCUUCAUACACUGCGGGUCAUUAGGCCACGAUGAGCUGCUUCCAUUGUUCACUGUCCUUGGCAACAUGUAGAGCUACAUCCCAAAUACACACUAAAGCAUUAACUCAUAAAACUCUGAAAUCAUCAGUAGUUUAUAUUUACAGACAUUGAAAUCGAAGGAAAAACUCAGCAGAAUCAAACUUUAACAGCUCAAGUUUUUACCAAGUUUCAACAUUGGCUGAUUUAAGCUUCCACGACAACUCCGCCAUCUUAGUAUUUGACCAACAGAUACUAAACUGGCAAAUCAUCCUCAAGAGAAAAAACACUCUGAAAAGAACAUAAAAAGUCACAUGAUGAUCAAAUAUUAACCCUCAGUUUACCUGUGAUCUUUCUGAUAAAAGAUAUUAAAGGGGCCGUAGCAGGUUCACAACAAUUAGUCAAUCUGCGCUAUUUGUAAAAGAGGAAACGUGUCACCUCAAAUUUCCAAUGAUGACUUCAUACAAGACAAGUUAAGGUAGGAAAGCAGAGCGGUACAAAACUGUGUUGAGUGUAAAGUUGUCAGUAGGGGGGGUAACAGAGGGCUGUGAAUGAGCCCUGUCACUGUGAUCAGGCUCCUUCUAGUCCACCAACUUAGUGUUGAUGAAGACUAAACAGAGACUUCACAGCCUUCGUUAUACUUGCUGUAGCUCACAGCGACUCAACACUGCAGAUAUGACGCCUCUGCUCAUCUCAGUGCUGCUGGCUGCUAUGUGCCUUGAAUGCAGAGCACAAAAAGACAACGUGCUGCAACCAAAAAGAGAUGUGACUGCUACUGAAGGAGAGGCAGUAACACUUGACUGUCUAUAUAACAGCA